GUAGGUGAACCUGCGGAAGGAUCAUUACCAAAUCCAAAUACCCAAACCCCAUGUGAACUAUUGUAUAGUCUGUCUUUGGGAGAAAAACGAAAAAUAUUUUAGAAUUAAUUUCGGUUUCUUUUAAUAUAUUUGAAUUUUUCUCCCAAUAGAGUCCGGCGCAACUUUAUUGUUGUGUCCAGAUUCGAAAACACCUUUAAACCACUUGAUUAUUCUGUUGGAAUUAACUUUUAUUAAUUUUUAAAUAAAAGACAACUUUUAACGGCGGAUCUCUUGGCUCGU
rnacentral:misc_RNA from 1 species